CCGAACUGUCCGUUAACGAGAUGUUAGCUUGUCCGAGGUUUCCUAUCUGAGGGUCAAAAGAUUCUCGAUCACUUUUCCUGGAUAGUCGAGACGAUCACCAAGUGUUUCCUCCCGUGUUCCGCGAAAUUAAUCCAAAAUAGCUAGUUAGAUUCCAUGUGCCAAGUUAGUGCCAAAAAGCCAGUGUGGUUAAACCUUAGUGCAGUUAAGAAAGCAGAAAGGUAUUGAAGUCGUGCGUUAAUAGGUUGCGGUGUGCUCUAUAACCCCUUUUUCUCGAACAGCCGUUCGACGGCCUUUUUUCCUUGUGAUCUAGGAAACUACGUCGCUAGUUCGCCUCAGUGAUCGACUGUCCAGCAUAACGCCGGCCAACGCCGUUCUGUGGCCGAAGGGGCCGCGCCGUCAACAUCGCGCCCAAUCGCACCGUAGUGUCCGUGAACAACCGUUGACCGACCACGUGACCAAGAAUCGGUUGCUAAGCGAGUUUCGCUCGCCCUGGUAGGUGAAUUAACCACGUUCAACCCGCCUGCGUCCGUCUUUCGUCCACGCGGCUAAGAUUCACCAAGCUACACCAAGCCAAGCCAGCGAACAAUAGCACCGAGUGUCGCCAACCAACAAUAGCGGCGAUCGCCGCUGACCAUCUCGCCGUAUGAUGAGGGGAUCACCGUGUCAGCAGUAAAUGCGGUAUCUGUAAGUAGACAUGUGCACAUGUGAUGUCCAUAUGGGGAAUGCUAUAGCCUGGUAGUGAGGGGAAGAGCACGCACGCAUAGGUAGGAGCGAUAGGCCUAAUAGUGAAAUUUGAUGUCGUAGGAAUAAAUACCGAGAGUGUUAAGAUGA